GGAUAAGGUCUGUGCUCAGGCUUUCAGUACGAUGUAAGGUACCACAUCGUCAUCACGUGUCCUGCGGACACGGAACUGUUACGGAUUGUACGAAUUAGCGAUCCACACGGCAUAGGCC
rnacentral:sRNA from 1 species